rnacentral:rRNA from 1 species
AAGCUCGUAGUUGAAUUUCGGGCCUGGCCGGGCGGUCGGCUUAACGGCGUGCACUGUCUGGCUGGGCCUUACCUCUUGGUGAGCUGGCGUGUCCUUUAUUGGAUGCGUCGGGGAACCAGGACUUUUACCUUGAGAAAAUUAGAGUGUUCAAAGCAGGCCUAUGCCCGAAUACAUUAGCAUGGAAUAAUAAAAUAGGACGUGCGGUUCUAUUUUGUUGGUUUCUAGAGUUGCCGUAAUGAUUAAUAGGGAUAGUUGGG